AGCGAACGCUGGCGGCAGGCCUAACACAUGCAAGUCGAACGAACCUUUCGGGGUUAGUGGCGGACGGGUGAGUAACACGUGGGAACUUGCCUUUAGGUUCGGAAUAACUCAGGGAAACUUGUGCUAAUACCGAAUGUGCCCUUCGGGGGAAAGAUUUAUCGCCUUUAGAGCGGCCCGCGUCUGAUUAGCUAGUUGGUUGAGGUAAUGGCUCACCAAGGCGACGAUCAGUAGCUGGUCUGAGAGGAUGAUCAGCCACAUUGGGACUGAGACACGGCCCAAACUCCUACGGGAGGCAGCAGUGGGGAAUCUUGCGCAAUGGGCGAAAGCCUGACGCAGCCAUGCCGCGUGAAUGAUGAAGGUCUUAGGAUUGUAAAAUUCUUUCACCGGGGACGAUAAUGACGGUACCCGGAGAAGAAGCCCCGGCUAACUUCGUG
rnacentral:rRNA from 1 species